GAUGAACGCUGGCGGCGUGCCUAAUACAUGCAAGUCGAGCGAACAGGCGAGGAGCUUGCUCCUCUGACGUUAGCGGCGGACGGGUGAGUAACACGUGGAUAACCUACCUAUAAGACUGGGAUAACUUCGGGAAACCGGAGCUAGUACCGGAUAAUAUAUUGAACCGCAUGGUUCAAUAGUGAAAGACGGUUUUGCUGUCACUUAUAGAUGGAUCCGCGCCGCAUUAGCUAGUUGGUAAGGUAACGGCUUACCAAGGCAACGAUGCGUAGCCGACCUGAGAGGGUGAUCGGCCACACUGGAACUGAGACACGGUCCAGACUCCUACGGGAGGCAGCAGUAGGGAAUCUUCCGCAAUGGGCGAAAGCCUGACGGAGCAACGCCGCGUGAGUGAUGAAGGUCUUCGGAUCGUAAAACUCUGUUAUUAGGGAAGAACAAAUGUGUAAGUAACUAUGCACGUCUUGACGGUACCUAAUCAGAAAGCCACGGCUAACUACGUG
rnacentral:rRNA from 1 species